GACGGAGGGUGCAAGCGUUGUUCGGAUUGACUGGGCGUAAAGGGCGUGUAGGCGGUUGGUCAAGUCUGGUGUGAAAGCCCGGGGCUUAACCCCGGAAGUGCGCUGGAACUAGCCAGCUAGAGCGCGAGAGAGGAGGGUGGAAUUCCUGGUGUAGCGGUGAAAUGCGUAGAUAUCAGGAGGAACACCGGCGGCGAAGGCGGCCCUCUGGCUCGUUGCUGACGCUGAAACGCGAAAGCGUGGGGAGCAAACAGG
rnacentral:rRNA from 1 species